rnacentral:rRNA from 1 species
AUUGAACGCUGGCGGCAGGCCUAACACAUGCAAGUCGAACGGUAACAGGAAGAAGCUUGCUUCUUUGCUGACGAGUGGCGGACGGGUGAGUAAUGUCUGGGAAACUGCCUGAUGGAGGGGGAUAACUACUGGAAACGGUAGCUAAUACCGCAUAACGUCGCAAGACCAAAGAGGGGGACCUUCGGGCCUCUUGCCAUCGGAUGUGCACAGAUGGGAUUAGCUAGUAGGUGGGGUAACGGCUCACCUAGGCGACGAUCCCUAGCUGGUCUGAUAGGAUGACCAGCCACACUGGAACUGAGACACGGUCCAGACUCCUACGGGAGGCAGCAGUGGGGAAUAUUGCACAAUGGGGGCAAGCCUGAUGCAGCCAUGCCGCGUGUAUGAAGAAGGCCUUCGGGUUGUAAAGUACUUUCAGCGGGGAGGAAGGGAGUAAAGUUAAUACCUUUGCUCAUUGACGUUACCCGCAGAAGAAGCACCGGCUAACUCCGUGCCAGCAGCCGCCGUAA